rfam:Dipodomys ordii contig_29188, whole genome shotgun sequence.
GUGAAGGUGGCUCAGUGGUAGAGUGCUUGCCUCAUAUGCAUAAGGACCUGGGUUUGAUUCCUCAGCAUCACA